AUACCAAAGUAGUAAUAAAUACAUAUUAUUAUUAUUCAUUGCAGACAAAAAUAUGAAGAAUAAAAGAAAAAACAGUAAAAGUUAUAACUACAGCAGAUCAAAUAAUAUACAUACAUGCAUAUGUUUAUAUAUUAUUAUCAUAUG
rnacentral:ribozyme from 14 species